rnacentral:rRNA from 1 species
AGAGUUUGAUUCUGGCUCAGAUUGAACGCUGGCGGCGUGCUUAACACAUGCAAGUCGAACGUGAAAGUCCUUCGGGGCGAGUAAAGUGGCGCACGGGUGAGUAACGCGUGGAUAAUCUACCCUUAAGAUGGGGAUAACGGCUGGAAACGGUCGCUAAUACCGAAUACGCUCCCGAUUUUAUCGUUGGGGGGAAAGAUGGCCUCUGCUUGCAAGCUAUCGCUUAAGGAUGAGUCCGCGUCCCAUUAGCUAGUUGGCGGGGUAACGGCCCACCAAGGCGACGAUGGGUAGCCGGUCUGAGAGGAUGACCGGCCACACUGGAACUGGAACACGGUCCAGACUCCUACGGGAGGCAGCAGUGGGGAAUAUUGCGCAAUGGGCGAAAGCCUGACGCAGCGACGCCGCGUGAGGGAUGAAGGUUCUCGGAUCGUAAACCUCUGUCAGGGGGGAAGAAACCCCCUCGUGUGAAUAAUGCGAGGGCUUGACGGUACCCCCAAAGGAAGCACCGGCUAACUCCGUGCCAGCAGCCGCGGUAAUACGGAGGGUGCAAGCGUUAAUCGGAAUCACUGGGCGUAAAGCGCACGUAGGCGGCUUGGUAAGUCAGGGGUGAAAUCCCACAGCCCAACUGUGGAACUGCCUUUGAUACUGUCAGGCUUGAGUACCGGAGAGGGUGGCGGAAUUCCAGGUGUAGGAGUGAAAUCCGUAGAUAUCUGGAGGAACACCGGUGGCGAAGGCGGCCACCUGGACGGUAACUGACGCUGAGGUGCGAAAGCGUGGGUAGCAAACAGGAUUAGAUACCCUGGUAGUCCACGCUGUAAACGAUGGGUGCUGGGUGCUGGGAUGUAUGUCUCGGUGCCGUAGCUAACGCGAUAAGCACCCCGCCUGGGGAGUACGGUCGCAAGGCUGAAACUCAAAGAAAUUGACGGGGGCCCGCACAAGCGGUGGAGU